rnacentral:rRNA from 1 species
GCGAACGCUGGCGGCAGGCCUAACACAUGCAAGUCGAGCGCCCGUAGCAAUACGGGAGCGGCAGACGGGAGAGUAACACGUGGGGACGUACCCUUCAGUUCGGAACAACCCAGGGAAACUUGGGCUAAUACCGAAUACGUCCGUAAGGAGAAAGAUUUAUCGCUGAAGGAUCGGCCCGCGUCUGAUUAGCUAGUUGGUGAGGUAACGGCUCACCAAGGCGACGAUCAGUAGCUGGUCUGAGAGGAUGAUCAGCCUCACUGGGACUGAGACACGGCCCAGACUCCUACGGGAGGCAGCAGUGGGGAAUAUUGGACAAUGGGCGCAAGCCUGAUCCAGCCAUGCCGCGUGGGUGAUGAAGGCCCUAGGGUUGUAAAGCCCUUUCGGCGGGGAAGAUAAUGACGGUACCCGCAGAAGAAGCCCCGGCUAACUUCGU